GUACGCCUUUUAUGGAAGUCUCUUCAACUGUUGAGCGCGAGUCGCUGAUCAAAAAGUCGAAAAAUGGGCCCCUAAAUAGGCAAUAGGUGACAACCGGUGAAAUCAGAACGACUCCAAUCGUCGCAGGCCACAGCGUACGUAUUUCUUUGUGCUCUUGAGUUUGCUAUUUUCCGGGUGUCAACAGAAACCAGAUCCAACGAUGCAUCGAGCAUUUCUCCUGUGCAUUUUCAUGAUAUUACUCGUCUUCGGCCCUGCCAACAUGGUCAAUGGCCAGAUUGGGCGCCGAAGGUGCCCGCCAAAUUGCGGUCUCAGUGAGGCAGCCGAAAAUGGCAUGAAGCUAACUCCAUUCAUCCGGAGGCUGAAGAGGGCUGUUGACGGUACGUUGAACAACAGUUGAAAGUACUUGACUGUCAUGGAGAAGAACACGAGUAUCUUCAUCGAUCUUCUACCCAAGCCUAUACAUCAUUCUGACAGCUUACGAUCUCCAUAUCAAC